GACAAAUGAAUUUAUUUCUUAAAGUAAUGGUUAUACUAUAUCCAGUAAUUUCAAUAUUAAAAGUUUGGAGAAAAUGAGAUAAAAGUGAUAGAGUUGAUUUGUGGAUAAAAGAGUUGAAUUAGGGACACUUGGAUUUUCCUUGUCUGGAUUUCCAAUUGUUAUAACAUGGACAUUCUUCCUUGUGGCCAUAAGUUCCAGACAGAACACAUAAACAUUUAUCACAGCACAUGUUACAAAAGUGGAGACAUCUCUUUGGAAACCGAGUCUUUGAGCAACGAUACUCGCAUGCUUUUGGACAUUAUGAAACAAUUCACCAAACCAAUUUUCAAUUCUCAACAUCACAUUCAAAUACUUUUAUGUUAACUUUCAAAAAUGUCACCACAAUUAAUACCUCCUCGCUUAAGAGAUCCUUCCCCACCACUCUGUACAAGAUAACAAAAUAAUUAGAAUUCAUUGUUACUACUUUAAUAUAGUGCACAAAUAAGUUUAGAUGAAAUAAACAUGCAAAAUGAAUAAGUAAAAAUAUGAAUAACAAAGACAUAAGAAAAUAAUAUAUGUGUGAAAUAGAAAAAUGAGUCACAUAGACAAGUUGAGAUGAGAAUGAUGAGAAAAAGUGCAUGCACAAAUUUAGUCAUGAUUGACUCUCUUUAGAUUGAAGCAAAG
rnacentral:lncRNA from 1 species